UACCUUGAGUUCAGCUCAGGGCAGCUCCCCUGUUCUGUUAAUUAAAAUCUGGGACAUCAAACUGGCUAGGGUAGAUCACUGCAUAGAAAAUAUUCUAUUCAUUUACCUCCCAGCCUAUAAAA